rnacentral:RNase_P_RNA from 1 species
GAAGCCCGCCAGGCCGUCGCCGGUGCAAGGCCCGAAAGGGCGCACUGGAGGAACGUCCGGACUGCACAGGGCAGCGUAGGAGGUAACACCUCUCCACCGAAAGCCGCAAGGUACAAGGUGAGGAUCAGAGCAACAGAGACGAGCCGAUUGAGUUCGGGUGAAACGGGCAAUCUCUACGCGCAGCAACACCAAAUAGGCACACGAUGAGGCGGCUCGCGGAGUGUGCGGGUAGGUGGCACCGAGCCGGGCGGGCGACCCCGGCCCAGAUUGAUGACGGUCACGCCCCGGGCAACCGGGGUGCACAGAAUCCGGCGUAUCGGCGGGCUUCACAC